rnacentral:misc_RNA from 1 species
GAUGAAGAACGUAGUGAAAUGCGAUAAGUAAUGUGAAUUGCAGAAUUCAGUGAAUCAUCGAAUCUUUGAACGCACCUUGCGCUCUUUGGUAUUCCGAAGAGCAUGCCUGUUUGAGUGUCAUGAAAAUAUCAACCUUGACUUGGGUUUUGUGCUCUAGUCUCGGCUUGGAAUUGGGUGCUUGCCGCUUUUACGAGCGGCUCACCUUAAAUGUAUUAGCUGGAUCUGUCUUUGAGACUUGGUUUGACUUGGCGUAAUAAGUAUUUCGCUAAGGACAUUCUUCGGAGUGGCCUCGUUUCUAGGACGCUUGUCCGCUUUCCAAUACAAGUUCCACCUCGUGGACAUGACUUUUUAUUAUCUGGCCUCAAAUCAGGUAGGACUACCCGCUGAACUUAGGCAUAUCAAUAAGCGGAGGA